rnacentral:lncRNA from 1 species
CUCGCAUCCGACUAAUCACUAACACCAUUUUUCAUGUUUUUAUUUCCGAACUAUAUUUUAUCCAACAUUGAUUCGCGGUUCUUAUCCUUGCCUUAAAGACCAGGCGGACCCACACGUUCAUCCUUCUCGCAAGCCAUCCAUUCUUUUUGAACAAGAAAACUGGUCUUGCUCACCAAGUGUAAAGAGGACUUCCUUUCCUUCCCCUCCAACCACCCUUCUUUAGGUUGAAAGGUCCUAUAAUGCAAUCACAAUUGUUGGAUCAAGGGAUGGAUCGGCUCACACACCACCAACAACUCAAUUAGAAAAAGGAUUUCAUCACUCAACACACUAACCAAAUCUAGAAACCGGUUCAGAAAGAUCGACACACGAAAGCCGGAUAAUGAGCUCCGGCACAUUGGUCUAGACCCCCUUCCAAAGUGAAAUCUCAACUAGAGAGGGUGAGGUAAUGAACCAUAAGGGGUAUCCCUGCUUCAAUCAACCAAUAGAUUUUAUGCAAUGUCUACCAGGGGAGCUCGCGAAAAG